GGAGGGAUCGCAUAGUGGCCUAGUGCAGCGGUUUACUAAACCGCCAUAGCGCAAGCUAUCCAGGGUUCGAAUCCCUGUCCCUCCG
rnacentral:tRNA from 1 species